rnacentral:rRNA from 1 species
UACGGAAGGCAGCAGUAGGGAAUAUUGGGCAAUGGGAGCAAUCCUGACCCAGCCAUGCCGCGUGCCGGAUGAAGGCUUUCUGAGUCGUAAACGGCUUUUGCCAGGAAGAAUAAGGCUCCUGCGGGGUCGACGACGGUACCUGGUGAAUAAGCACCGGCUAACUCCGUGCCAGCAGCCGCGGUAAUACGGAGGGUGCAAGCGUUGUCCGGAUUUAUUGGGUUUAAAGGGUGCGUAGGCGGUUUUUUUAAGUCUGGGGUGAAAGCCCGUUGCUCAACAACGGAACUGCCCUGGAAACUGGAAGACUUGAGUACAGACGAGGUUGGCGGAAUGGAUGCUGUAGCGGUGAAAUGCAUAGAUAGCAUCCAGAACCCCGAUUGCGAAGGCAGCUGACUAGGCUGUAACUGACGCUGAGGCACGAAAGCGUGGGGAGCGAACAGGGAUUAGAUACC